rnacentral:rRNA from 1 species
AUUGCCUUAGUAACGGCGAGUGAAGCGGCAACAGCUCAAAUUUGAAAUCUGGCCCCAGGCCCGAGUUGUAAUUUGCAGAGGAUGCUUUUGGCGCGGUGCCUUCCGAGUUCCCUGGAACGGGACGCCAUAGAGGGUGAGAGCCCCGUCUGGUUGGAUACCAAGCCUUUGUAAAGCUCCUUCGACGAGUCGAGUAGUUUGGGAAUGCUGCUCUAAAUGGGAGGUAUAUGUCUUCUAAAGCUAAAUACCGGCCAGAGACCGAUAGCGCACAAGUAGAGUGAUCGAAAGAUGAAAAGCACUUUGGAAAGAGAGUUAAACAGCACGUGAAAUUGUUAAAAGGGAAGCGUUUAUGACCAGACUUGGGCCGGUUAAUCAUCCAGCGUUCUCGCUGGUGCACUUUGCCGGUCCAGGCCAGCAUCAGUUCGCUGCGGGGGAUAAAGGCGUCGGGAAUGUGGCUCCUCCGGAGUGUUAUAGCCCUUCGCGCAAUACCCUGCGGUGGACUGAGGUUCGCGCAUCUGCAAGGAUGCUGGCGUAAUGGUCAUCAACGACCCGUCUUGAAACACGGACCAAGGAGUCGUCUUCGUAUGCGAGUGUUCGGGUGUAAAACCCCUACGCGUAAUGAAAGUGAACGCAGGUGAGAGCUUCGGCGCAUCAUCGACCGAUCCCGACGUUCUCGGAUGGAUUUGAGUAAGAGCAUACGGGGCCGGACCCGAAAGAAGGUGAACUAUGCCUGUAUAGGGUGAAGCCAGAGGAAACUCUGGUGGAGGCUCGCAGCGGUUCUGACGUGCAAAUCGAUCGUCAAAUAUGGGCAUGGGCGCGAAAGACUAAU